rnacentral:lncRNA from 1 species
AGACAGACCAUUACCAAAGGAGUUGGACUUGGAGCUUUGUGGAACAUGUCUACUUUCUUACCAAAAAUAUCUUCUCUGUUUCCCGGGCGAACAGUCAGCUUCAACAAGCAGCAGGUUUGAUCAACCAUUCUUCUCAGAGCAAGAAACCUACCAUACUGACUUCUUGACUAUCAUAUUGUCUAAGACGAAAUGUUAAAUAUAUUACUUCAAAUUGGAAAGGAGAAAAAAAGCUGGAU